rnacentral:rRNA from 1 species
UCCGUAGGUGGCAAUCGUUAUCCGGAAUUAUUGGGCGUAAAGCGCGCGCAGGUGGUUUCUUAAGUCUGAUGUGAAAGCCCACGGCUCAACCGUGGAGGGUCAUUGGAAACUGGGAGACUUGAGUGCAGGAGAGGAAAGUGGAAUUCCAAGUGUAGCGGUGAAAUGCGUAGAGAUUUGGAGGAACACCAGUGGCGAAGGCGACUUUCUGGCCUGUAACUGACACUGAGGCGCGAAAGCGUGGGGAGCAAACAGG